GUGAAUUGUAAAAUAUCUAAUAUAUACACAACUUUUAACAAUGAAUCUCUGGGCUCUCGUAUCGAUGAAGAACGUAGUAAAGUGCGAAAAUUGGUGUGACCUGCGCAGUUUGCGAAUCAUUGAGUAUUUGAACGCAGCUUGUGGCGACACGCGGUAACGCUUGUUGUCGUGUCCUGUUGAGUGGGUGAAAUGAUGGUGCACAACUGCUAGUUUGCGCUUGAAAUGAAUUGAGUCCACUUGAGUGUAAGCAAAGGUGGAGCGAGAUUGUGUAGAUACUAGUGUGUAGAUACUGUAAAGGUUGUACUGUAAAGGUGGUACUGUAACAGUUACUACCGUGCUACUACUGUAAAGACUAACAUCUAAAAAGGGCCCAUCAGCAGGACAAGAGUACCCACUGAACUUAAGCAUAUCAGUAAGUGGAGGAAAAGAAACUAACUAGGAUUCCCUCAGUAACGGCGAGUGAAGCGGGACCAGUCCAAAUUUGUAAAGUGCCGCAAGGCACUGUUGUAAUUGCAAGAGGAUAUGGCAAUGGCACGGCCGGCUGCAUCACGCACAAGUCGCAAGGAAUGGCGCACCAUGGAGGGUGACAGUCCCGUAGUGCGUGGUGUAGGCGGCUGGCACACCUCGAAGAGUCGAGCUGUUUGGGAUUGCAGCUCAAAGCAGGUGGUAUACCCCAUCUAAGGCUAAAUAGCGACGAGAGACCGAUAGCGAACAAGUACCGUGAGGGAAAGAUGAAAAGGACUUUGAAAAGAGAGUC
rnacentral:rRNA from 1 species